rnacentral:rRNA from 1 species
UGCAGCAGCAGCCAAGGGUGGGGUUGUUCGCCCAUUAAAGGGAUACGUGAGCUGGGUUUAGAACGUCGCGAGACAGUUUGGCGGCAUCUACUGGGAGUGCACUCUACCUGAGGGGAAGGUUCAUUUAGUACGAGAGGAACAAUGGGCCGCAGCCUCUGGUGUACCAGUUGUCUGACAGGGCAUGCUGGGUAGCUACGCUGUAUUCGAUAAAGGCUGAAAGCAUCUAGGCCUGAAGCGAUUCCCAAAUAAGAGGUAGGUUAAGGCUCUCCUAUAAGAGGAGUUUGAUAGGCAGGGGGUGUAAGUGCUAAGCUUCGGCGAGGUAUUAAGCCUACCUGUACUAACCG